UUUCUCAUAUAAUUAAUAUUCAUAAUAUAAAAAUUAAAAAAUACAGGAAACAUUCAUAAGAAUACAAAUUAAAUUAGAGAAAUUGGCGUUCAUAUAAAUACAUAAUAGCAUCAUUAUCCCAGAAACCCCAUUUGGGGUUUCUUAAUUUUUUUUUUUUUUUUUUUUACUUUUUCGAACUAAAAUGAAAAAUUAAAAACGAACCAAUCGCGGAUCGCCAUGUGUCAGUGGGGUCCGCGAACAGUGUAAGAAACCCUUAAGGACCGACUACUAUUUGGUAGUUUAAGACCAUGAUUGUCUCUAAGAAACCAAAAAAAAAAAAAAAAUUAAAAAGCAAAUCAAUCGCGGACCGCCACGAGUCAGUGGGACCCGCGAACAGUGUAAGAAACUCACUAAGAUCGGUUCUUAAUUAGUAGUUUUAGUAACCGAUCCUUAAGGGUUUUGUGGGGAUCUACGCACUAAGAAACCCACUAAAGACAAUCAUGCUCUUAGUAACCGGUUUCAUAAAAAAAAUGAAUCCUACGCGGAACCCACGCGCUAAGAACCUCUAUAGUAUCCUUCGAUAAAGAACUGCCUAAUUUGCAUAGACAGAACUUCUACUUUCACUUUCAAUAAUGGCAAGAUUGCCCCUAUAAUUCCUAUAUGAACCUAGUAGCUCAAUUAUCUUAUUAAUAUUUUUCUUUUUCUUCUUAUCUUUCGACAUACUUCUCUCUCCUCUCUAAAAAAAUCAUUUUCUUCCUAAACUUCAAGUUUUCAUCUUCAGAAAAAACCCGUUCAAUCUGUCUCAACUGGUUUUUCUACAAACCCAAGACGCCAUCAAGCAAAACGGCGUUUUCGCCACUUAUGUUAGUGUGGCGGCGGCAUCCCUGCACAAUCACGCUGUCCCUCUCCGUGGAGUCAGACCGUCCGCGGUGAAUAAAAUCCCACGUUCGCCGCUCCUUCCCUUCAAUCCAAGGCUCCAGUCGAUCUGAUUCUUUAUGCUUUCGUUGCUAUGCCUGCUUCUCUCUCGACGGCUGUUGUAGAUGAGAAAUCGGAGGAAUCUAGUGGUCAUUGCAUAUCAGGCGUUGCAAGGAAGAAACCAGUUUGGAAAAGGAUUGAGAAUUGGGCUUAAGAGCCUAUCAUGGGAGCUCCCUCGUAGCAUGUUCUUUCUUAGACCACCAAAGCUCAUUCCAACAAUUCUUCCUCCGAUUCUUUAGAAAGCCUCGGUGUACUGUCGAUUAUUUUCUUUAUUUUUAAUUAAUAAUGAGAAUGCUUGUAUGUCUUUGAUAUAAGUAACUGCAAAUGCUCAUGUUCUCCACAGUGUUAGUGGCAACUUUUCACCGCGUGGAUAUCUCUAUUAUUAGUUGUUUAUGUUAAACUGAAAA